AACUUGGAACCGGGAGAGGUUAGAGGUACUUCCGGGGUAGGAGUGAAAUCUUGUAAUCCUGGGGGGACCACCUGUGGCGAAGGCGUCUUACCGGAACGGAUUCGACGGUGAGGGACGAAAGCUGGGGGCGCGAACCGGAUUAGAUACCCGGGUAGUCCUGGCCGUAAACGAUGCUCGCUUGGUGUUGGGAAUGGUGCGA
rnacentral:rRNA from 1 species